AGUGGGGAAUUUUGGACAAUGGGCGCAAGCCUGAUCCAGCCAUGCCGCGUGAGUGAAGAAGGCCUUCGGGUUGUAAAGCUCUUUCGGCGGGGACGAAACGGUUCGCAUUAACACUGCGGACUAAUGACGGUACCCGCAUAAGAAGCACCGGCUAACUACGUGCCAGCAGCCGCGGUAAUACGUAGGGUGCAGGCGUUAAUCGGAAUUACUGGGCGUAAAGCGUGCGCAGGCGGUCUGUUAAGACAGGUGUGAAAUCCCCGGGCUUAACCUGGGAAUUGCGCUUGUAACUGGCAGGCUAGAGUGUGGCAGAGGGGGGUGGAAUUCCACGUGUAGCAGUGAAAUGCGUAGAUAUGUGGAGGAACACCGAUGGCGAAGGCAGCCCCCUGGGUUAACACUGACGCUCAUGCACGAAAGCGUGGGGAGCAAA
rnacentral:rRNA from 1 species